rnacentral:rRNA from 1 species
GACGAACGCUGGCGGCGUGCUUAACACAUGCAAGUCGAACGGUGAACGAGGGAGCUUGCUCCCUCCGGGUCAGUGGCGAACGGGUGAGUAACACGUGAGCACUCUGCCCCGAACUCUGGGAUAAUCGUUGGAAACGACGUCUAAUACCGGAUACGACGCGGGAGGGCAUCCUCUCCGCGUGGAAAUAACUUCGGUGCGGGAUGGACUCGGGGCCUAUACGCUUGUUGGGGGGGGAACGGCUCACCAAGGCUGCGACGGGUAGCCGGCCUGAGAGGGUGACCGGCCAAAAUGGGGCUGAGAAACGGCCCAGACUCCUACGGGGGGGAGGAGGGGGGAAAAUUGCACAAUGGGCGGAAGCCUGAAGCAGCAACGCCGCGGGGGGGAAGACGGCCCUCGGGUUGUAAACCCCUUUUGCCUGGGAAGAAGCGGAAGGGACGGUAACGGGUAAAAAAGCACCGGCUAACUACGUG